GUUCUCUAGAGGGACAGAACUAAUAGGAUAUAUGUAUAUAUGAAAGGGAUUUUAUUAAGGAGAAUUGACUUACAUGAUCACAAGGUGAAGUCCCACGAUAGGCCAUAUGCAAGCUGAGGAGCAAAGCAGCUAUAAAUAUUAGUUUGGCCGGGUGCCCUGGAGUCAUAAGAAGUGAGGGGUAAUUUUAGGUCUUGACUACUCUGUCGGCAACAAAAGCCUUAAUUGGCAAUCAAUGUGUGUAAAGCCAUUUAGGAAAGAAUGAGUGGGCUGCACGUGGCCACAGGCUGCUCCUACAGUGGGAUCACAGGGAACUUGCUCGAGAAUCUGAUGUUAGAGGACAUGAUUAGACAGACAACUGCAACCCCUUGACACUUAAUUCCAGAAAUCAUUUAAGAAUCACUUGAAAAAGGAAUAUAUUAUUGUUCUCCUUCCAAUAACCAAGUGUCUUCUGAAAACCUUUCAUUGUCACUUUCUGGUAAUUGAACAAUGAGAACACAUGGACACAGGAAGGGGAACAUCACACACUGGGAACUGUUGUGGGGUGGGGGGAGGGGGGAGGGAUAGCAUUGGGAGAUAUACCUAAUGCUAAAUGACGAGUUAAUGGGUGCAGCACACCAACAUGGCACAUGUAUGCAUAUGUAACAACCCUGCACAUUGUGCACAUGUACCCUAAAACUUAAAAUAUAAUAAUAAUAAAAUUUAAAAAAA
rnacentral:lncRNA from 10 species